GACGAACGCUGGCGGCGUGCCUAAUACAUGCAAGUAGAACGCUGAAGGAGGAGCUUGCUCUUCUGGAUGAGUUGCGAACGGGUGAGUAACGCGUAGGUAACCUGCCUGGUAGCGGGGGAUAACUAUUGGAAACGAUAGCUAAUACCGCAUAACAGUAGAUGUUGCAUGACAUUUACUUAAAAGGUGCAAUUGCAUCACUACCAGAUGGACCUGCGUUGUAUUAGCUAGUUGGUGGGGUAACGGCUCACCAAGGCGACGAUACAUAGCCGACCUGAGAGGGGGAUCGGCCACACUGGGACUGAGACACGGCCCAGACUCCUACGGGAGGCAGCAGUAGGGAAUCUUCGGCAAUGGACGGAAGUCUGACCGAGCAACGCCGCGUGAGUGAAGAAGGUUUUCGGAUCGUAAAGCUCUGUUGUAAGAGAAGAACGAGUGUGAGAGUGGAAAGUUCACACUGUGACGGUAUCUUACCAGGAAGGGACGGCUAACUACGUG
rnacentral:rRNA from 1 species